GACAGAGGGUGCAAACGUUGUUCGGAAUUACUGGGCGUAAAGCGUGUGUAGGCGGUCUCAUAAGUCGGGUGUGAAAGCCCAGGGCUCAACCCUGGAAGUGCACUCGAAACUGCGAGGCUUGAGUACCGGAGAGGUUGGUGGAAUUCUCGGUGUAGAGGUGAAAUUCGUAGAUAUCGUGAGGAACACCGGUGGCGAAGGCGGCCAACUGGACGAGUACUGACGCUGAGACACGAAAGCGUGGGGAGCAAACAGG
rnacentral:rRNA from 1 species